GAUGAACGCUGGCGGCGUGCUUAACACAUGCAAGUCGAACGAGGAAGCCCAGCUUGCUGGGUGGAGUAGUGGCGAACGGGUGAGUAACACGUGAGUAACCUGCCCUUAACUCUGGGAUAAGCCUGGGAAACUGGGUCUAAUACCGGAUAGGAGCGUCCACCGCAUGGUGGGUGUUGGAAAGAUUUAUUGGUUUUGGUUGGACUCGCGGCCUAUCAGCUUGUUGGUGAGGUAUUGGCUCACCAAGGCGACGACGGGUAGCCGGCCUGGGAGGGUGACCGGCCACACUGGGACGGAGACACGGCCCAGACUACUACGGGAGGCAGCAGUGGGGAAUAGUGCACAAUGGGCGGAAGGCUGAUGCAGCGACGCCGCGUGGGGGAUGACGGCCUUCGGGUUGUAAACCUCUUUCCGUAGGGAAGAAGCGAAAGUGACGGUACCGGGAGAAGAAGCACCGGCUAACUACGUG
rnacentral:rRNA from 1 species